rfam:Leminorella grimontii ATCC 33999 = DSM 5078 strain ATCC 33999 GLGR.assembly.07, whole genome shotgun sequence.
CCUUCUGACUCGGGGUGCUUCGCUUAACGCGCGGCUGAGAUAUCACCCGUAUUACCUGAUCUGGAUUAUGCCAGCGUAGGGAAGUCACCGUUUCCCAAC